rnacentral:misc_RNA from 1 species
UAUUCAUUAUGAUCCUUGGCAAUAUGCUAUAGAUGCAGAUCUCAAUCUUGUAGAGAAAGCUAUCGUUACUAAUGUAUAUGGACCAUGGAUGUUGUGUCAGGCCUUCAUACCUAUAAUGAAGAGAAACGGAUAUGGACGUAUAGUGAAUGUUUCCAGCCUAGGGGGCUCACUGCAUUAUAUGCAGGAAGGAGGAGCUCCCGCUUAUA